GCAUGGGUGGUUCAGUGGUAGAAUUCUCGCCUGCCACGUGGGAGACCCGGGUUCGAUUCCUGGCCCAUGCA
rnacentral:tRNA from 2 species